rnacentral:rRNA from 1 species
UACGUAGGGGGCAAGCGUUAUCCGGAAUUACUGGGUGUAAAGGGAGCGUAGACGGUAAUGUAAGUCUGGAGUGAAAGGCGGGGGGCCCAACCCCCGGACUGCUCUGGAAACUAUGUUACUAGAGUGCAGGAGAGGUAAGCGGAAUUCCUAGUGUAGCGGUGAAAUGCGUAGAUAUUAGGAGGAACACCAGUGGCGAAGGCGGCUUACUGGACUGUAACUGACGUUGAGGCUCGAAAGCGUGGGGAGCAAACAGG